GACGAACGCUGGCGGCGUGCUUAACACAUGCAAGUCGAACGGAAAGGCCCUGCUUUUGUGGGGUGCUCGAGUGGCGAACGGGUGAGUAACACGUGAGUAACCUGCCCUUGACUUUGGGAUAACUUCAGGAAACUGGGGCUAAUACCGGAUAGGAGCUCCUGCUGCAUGGUGGGGGUUGGAAAGUUUCGGCGGUUGGGGAUGGACUCGCGGCUUAUCAGCUUGUUGGUGGGGUAGUGGCUUACCAAGGCUUUGACGGGUAGCCGGCCUGAGAGGGUGACCGGCCACAUUGGUACUGAGAUACGGCGCAGACUCCUACGGGAGGCAGCAGUGGGGAAUAUUGCACAAUGGGAGGAAGCGUGAUGAAGAAACGCCGCGUGCGGGAUGACGGUCUUCGGGCUGUAAACCGCUUUAGCUUGUGACGAAGCGUGAGUGACGGUAAUGGGUAAAGAAGCACCGGCUAACUACGUG
rnacentral:rRNA from 1 species